GCCCGAUUAGUUCAGCUGGAUAGGAUGUCUGCCUACGGAGCAGAUGGUCGUAGGUUCGAAUACUGCAUCGGGUA
rnacentral:tRNA from 1 species